rnacentral:misc_RNA from 1 species
GAUGAAGAAGUAGCGAAAUGCGAUACGUAAUGUGAAUUGCAGAAUUCAGUGAAUCAUCGAAUCUUUGAACGCAUAUUGCGCUCUCUGGUAUUCCGGAGAGCAUGCUUGUUUGAGUAUCAGUAAACACCUCAACUUCCAUAUCUUUUUUGAAAUGGGAGUUGGACUUGAGUGAUCCCAACGCUUUUCCUCACCGAAAAGUGGCGGGUUACUUGAAAUGCAGGUGCAGCUGGACUUUUCUCUGAGCUAUAAGCAUAUCUAUUUAGUCUGCCUAAAAAACAGAUUAUUACCUUUGCUGCAGCUAACAUAAAGGAGAUUAGUUCUUGUGCUGACUGAUGCAGGAUUCACAAAGACGGCUUCGGCCGACUUUGUAAACUCGAUCUCAAAUCAAGUAAGACUACCCGCUGAACUUAAGCAUAUCAAUAAGCGGAGGA